UACGGAGGAUCCAAGCGUUAUCCGGAAUCAUUGGGUUUAAAGGGUCCGUAGGCGGUUUUGUAAGUCAGUGGUGAAAUCCGGCAGCUCAACUGUCGAACUGCCAUUGAUACUGCAGGACUUGAAUUAUUGUGAAGUAACUAGAAUAUGUAGUGUAGCGGUGAAAUGCUUAGAUAUUACAUGGAAUACCAAUUGCGAAGGCAGGUUACUAACAAUAUAUUGACGCUGAUGGACGAAAGCGUGGGGAGCGAACAGG
rnacentral:rRNA from 1 species